CUUUCCGUGGUCCAGACGGCCAGGACACCCGGCUGUAACCCGGGAGGCGCAGGUUCGAUCCCUGCCGGAAAGC
rnacentral:tRNA from 1 species